rnacentral:rRNA from 1 species
UACGUAGGGUGCGAGCGUUGUCCGGAAUUAUUGGGCGUAAAGGGCGCGUAGGCGGCUUGGCAAGUGGAUGGUGAAAUCCCUCGGCUUAACCGAGGAACUGCCGUCCAAACUGCUUAGCUUGAGACCGGGAGAGGUGAGUGGAAUUCCCAGUGUAGCGGUGAAAUGCGUAGAUAUUGGGAGGAACACCAGUGGCGAAGGCGGCUCACUGGACCGGUACUGACGCUGAGGCACGAAAGCGUGGGGAGCAAACAGGG